rnacentral:tRNA from 1 species
GCCUGGGUGGCUCAGUCGGUUGAGCGUCCGACUUCAGCUCAGGUCAUGAUCUCUCAUGGUUUGUGGGUUCGAGCCCCGCGUUGGGCU